rnacentral:lncRNA from 1 species
CUGUAUCUGAACUAGUAACUGAACUCCAGUCUGUAUCUGGCUCUGAAGAUCUUCAAAACCUUCAGUGUUCCGCUGUGGGAAAGCCUGCCCCUGGAAUCUCCAUUUACCCAUCACAAGUCACAGUACACCCAGCACAAGAAUACCUUGCUCAGAACCCCAAUGCCACAGUGACUGUCACUAAGAGCUACAGCAUCUCUUUGAAAACUGCGAGGUCCCUGGGUCUCCAGAACGUGGUUGUGUCCAUGACUCACCCAGUAAGACAUGAAGAGAAGAUAGUCCCUCUGCCACGAAAUCAAGGAGGUACCACAAAUUCUUGUUUAAACUGGAAGAUAACAGCAACUAUAUUCAUCAUAUUGUUUCUCAUUUCAUGGAUCAUCAUUGGGGCCCUUCGCUUUAUUCAUUUCAAAAAGAAAAGGUCAGAGAACACACCUGAGCCAUCAUCAACACAGACACCUAACCCACUGUCAACACUGGUACCUACACCACCAUCAACAGAGACUGACAACUUAAUGAGACACCGUCGCCAGACAGAGACAUAAUUGGUUGUAUAUGAUUUCUUUUUUCUGUCACUACAUCUUUAAAUUUAAGAAGUUUCAAAAAUUUGAACAUGCAUUCGCUAGCAGCAAUUAUCAUGUUAGAAGUAAGUGGAGUAUUUGUUCCAAGUGAGGUUUUAUUUAUGUUAAUGUCUUUACAUUUUGAAAUUAAAAUUUGAUUUAACUGAUACAUAAUAA